AACGAACGCUGGCGGCGUGCCUAACACAUGCAAGUCGAACGAGACCUUCGGGUCUAGUGGCGCACGGGUGCGUAACGCGUGGGAAUCUGCCCUUCGGUUCGGAAUAACAGUGGGAAACUACUGCUAAUACCGGAUAACGACGUAAGUCCAAAGAUUUAUCGCCGAGGGAUGAGCCCGCGUAGGAUUAGCUAGUUGGUGGGAAA
rnacentral:rRNA from 1 species